GAUGAACGCUAGCGGGAGGCUUAAUACAUGCAAGUCGAGGGGUAACAGGGGCUUCGGCCCGCUGACGACCGGCGCACGGGUGAGUAACGCGUACGCAACUUACCUCCAAGCGAGGGAUAGCCCUGGGAAACUGGGAUUAAUACCUCAUGUGAUUAUGAUGCCGCAUGGUGUUAUAAUUAAAGUUCAGGCGCUUGGAGAUGGGCGUGCGUCCUAUUAGCUAGUUGGUGAGGUAACGGCUCACCAACGGACGGACGAUAGGUAAGGGGCGGGUGGAGAGACGUGGCCCCCGACCCACCGGUAACGUACGGUAGACG
rnacentral:rRNA from 1 species